rnacentral:tRNA from 1 species
GUUUUAAUAAUUUAAAUAAAAAUAUUGAUCUUGUAAAUCAAAAAUAAGUUCUAACUUAUAAAACU